rnacentral:lncRNA from 1 species
UUGUUCAUCUGAAGUUAGCAUUUCAUUAUUUUUUUUCCCAGAAAAUGCACCCAUUUUUCAAAUCCUAAAAAAUCAAAGAGAGAGAGAGAGAGAACUCUCACUCAUCCCAGCUGCUCAAAUCAUCGUUGCAACAUUCUGCCAAGACCGACCUUGGAACCCCAAUGUCGAGGAUGCCUCCCUUAUGAAGUGCCUGAACCUCACAUGCUAGAACCAGGGGCGAAGGAGAGCUGGGAUUAUCGUCACACUUUCGGCAAGAAAUUGGUAGAUUCGGCUGUUUGUAAGAGAAAACGCUAGUGCCCAGGUCUGGGAAACAUCAUAAUGUCAUAACAACAGUUGUAGAGACCGCUUAUUAGGUGCGUGCUUUUUACGUGAAUUAGCUCCUCUAAGCCUCAUAAUCCCAACAGAUGACGUGUAAUAGAGGAUAACCCUGCUAUUAAACCCCAUUCUGCAGACAAAGAAACUGAGGUCAGUAGGGUUGGGUGGUCUGCCAUGUGGCAAGCACAAGAUUGAAAGAUAAUUUUCUUUUGUAUUUUCUGCUACACGUCAUCCCCUUUCGAUGUUUGGGACGAUCGAGUAAGAAGAGGCGUUGAGUGGAGCGACUUCUCGGCCUUCAUGGAGUGGGAAGGGUCCUUUUUCACAACAGAGAGAAGAGUUUGAGCCUCAUGGGGAAGAACUACGAUGGAGAAGGCAGGGGGGACUUCUGAAACAGAUGCCCUCUAAGGCUCCGUGACCAAUGCAGUCCUUUCAGGGUCUAAGCAGCGCAGACUUUUCGAGACAGAAGCA